AUUAGAUACCCUGGUAGUCCACGCCGUAAACGAUGUCGAUUUGGAGGUUGUGCCCUUGAGGCGUGGCUUCCGGAGCUAACGCGUUAAAUCGACCGCCUGGGGAGUACGGCCGCAAGGUUAAAACUCAAAUGAAUUGACGGGGGCCCGCACAAGCGGUGGAGCAUGUGGUUUAAUUCGAUGCAACGCGAAGAACCUUACCUGGUCUUGACAUCCACAGAACUUUCCAGAGAUGGAUUGGUGCCUUCGGGAACUGUGAGACAGGUGCUGCAUGGCUGUCGUCAGCUCGUGUUGUGAAAUGUUGGGUUAAGUCCCGCAACGAGCGCAACCCUUAUCCUUUGUUGCCAGCGGUCCGGCCGGGAACUCAAAGGAGACUGCCAGUGAUAAACUGGAGGAAGGUGGGGAUGACGUCAAGUCAUCAUGGCCCUUACGACCAGGGCUACACACGUGCUACAAUGGCAUAUACAAAGAGAAGCGACCUCGCGAGAGCAAGCGGACCUCAUAAAGUAUGUCGUAGUCCGGAUUGGAGUCUGCAA
rnacentral:rRNA from 1 species